rnacentral:misc_RNA from 1 species
AACAGGGGAUUUUAUCAUUCAAACGGUGAACUCAACCUUCUUGGACAUGUAAGCACAGGAUUACAUUUUAACUAAUCUUCCAAAUGUGUACUUGUUUCAAUAUUGGUACUCUAGUUCUCUUGUUUCUUGAUUGAAAUUGCAACACCAUAGACCAAGAAUAUUGAAAUUGGCAUUUUUGCAGGCAUGGAGACUAUGGAAAGAAGGA